GGUUCGAUGCUGUAUUGGUUAUGACAUCUGUCUAACAAAAAUCUUUUGUCUUUGCCGCAGAAGGACCCCAGUUCGAGCCUAGGUCGGAUCA